ensembl:lncRNA
UUAUGGGUCUUUAAUAGUUUUUCUCUUUCAAUCUGACAGAGUGGUGCUGUGUCAGGUCAACUGAAAUAACAGGUACUGUGGGACAUCCACUAACUUUGCAAUGCCCUUAUCCUCAACAACAUCGGGAUAACAAGAAGUUCCUCUGUAAGGGAGACCACCGCAACAGCUGCAGAGACAUGGUGAUGAGUGAAAGCAGAUUCGCACUACGAGAUGAUAUUUAUUCCAGCUCUUUCUCAGUGAUGAUCACAAAGCUAGAAGAAGCAGAUGCUGGGACCUACUGGUGUGGGUCAGACUCACGGUGGAGAGUUGGAAACUAUGUUAAGAUUCAGCUGUCAGUCGUCUUUCUGCAGCAUACCAGCACUGUACCUUCUACAGUAAAAACUCCUGGAAAAACUGUACCUCCUACAGUAGAAAAUCUUGGAAAAACUCAAACACAAACUCCUAGUCAACCUGUUAAAGGUACAGUAUAUACAAUACUGGUUUUUCAGUACCCCUGGGAUUUAAUGUUGUGAGAUCAAGUAUGUUGUCACUCCAUAAGCUUUGGUUACUUUUACUUUUUCAUGGCUACAGUUUCAGUAAGUCCCCUGGGGAAUGUACAUCACACCAACAUGAUCCUAAGUGCAAAAACAGCUAUGAGUGUGUGCACCAGUAGUCAACAGCUGUAACUAUUAAUACAAAUGUAAUCGAAACCCACAGUUCUGCUAUGUGUCUUUAAAUGCAUAAAAAGGAAGUUUUUAUUUUUAGUACAUUCUGUUUUGGUUUCUGCUUUUUAGAUGCGGCACUUUAUGUUCUUUUCGCCGUCCCCCCUGUGCUGCUGCUGUUGAUAGGCAUCCUUGUGGUUGUAGUUUACAAGUGGAAACAUCACAAAGUAAAAGAAGGUGAAGCCACCGUGGACAGAAAUGCACUCAAGGCAGAAGGUUUAGAGGAAGUGAUGGGUGCAAUGGAAAAUAAUAUUUAUGGAAACCAAGAAGUUGUGAUGUACUCGAAGAAGCAGACCUCCAAACAACAGAGUGCCUGUGCCCAAUAUGAAGAUGAAGAACAAGACUAUGAAAACUUCACAACAUCUGAAGACAUCUACUGUAAUGAAAAUUUCCACAAAGCCAAUAGAAAAUAAACAGUCUAAGGAGUUUGGAAAGAAACACGUCUGGGCUUUAGAGAAUUCCACCAAUUGCUCUUAGAACUAAAGAAGCUUCUCGGAUGAGAGAUAAAACAUGUUCAAGAAACUUCCAGAUGCUUUUCUUUCCAGCUUCUUAGACUGCGAUGACCUGGAUGAACCUUCACAUAAAAUAAACAGAGUUUUAAUUUGAGGUCAAACUGUGGGUCUUACCUGUAUAGAGAUUAAUCUACCUGAUUGAUCAUUAACAGUUACACAACAAAUCUUAAUAUACAGUGAUCCAGCUGUCUUAUUUUCUCUGUGAAACUUUGUUGUGUUUACUGUUUUAUCAUCACUUCUUACUCUUUUUCUAUUAGCUUUAACUUUUAUUGCUUAGUUGUAACAGAAAUCUGCACUCUUUUUCUGAAAUUGAACUCAAAUGCAAAUGACUAACACUAGUGCAAAGUAAAUAAAUAAGCAAAGCAAAAUGAAUUCCAAUGUUGGACCAUUUACUUCAAUUCAAUUCAAUUUUAUUUAUAUAGCGCCAAAUCACAACAAAAGUUGCCUCAAGGCACUUUAUAUUGUACAGUAUACCCUAUAAUAAUAGAUACAGAGAAAAACCGAACAAUCAUAUGACCCCCUAUGAGCAAGAACUUUGGCAACAGUGGGAAGGAAAAACUCCCUUAACAGGAAGAAACCUCCGGCAGAACCAGGCUCAGGGAGGGGCGGCCAUCUGCUGCGACUGGUUGGGGUGAAAGAACGAAAACAGGAUAAAGACAUGUGGAAGAGAGCCAGAGAUUAAUAACAGAUAUGAUUCAAUGCAGAGAGGUCUAUUAACACAUAGUGAGUGAGAAAGGUGACUGGAAAGGAAAAACUCAAUGCAUCAUGGGAAUCCCCGGCAGCCUACAUCUGUUGCAGCAUAACUAAGGGAGGAUUCAGGGUCACCUGGUCCAGCCCUAACUAUAUGCUUUAGCAAAAAGGAAAGUUUUAAGCCUAAUCUUGAAAGUAGAGAUAGUGUCUGUCUCCCGAAUCCAAACUGGAAGCUGGUUCCACAGAAGAGGGGCCUGAAAACUGAAGGCUCUCCCUCCAAUUCUACUUUUAAAUACUCUAGGAACAACAAGUAGGCCUGCAGUGCGAGAGCGAAGUGCUCUAAUAGGGUGACAUGGCACUACAAGGUCAUUAAGAUAAGAUGGGGCCUGAUUAUUUAAGACCUUGUAUGUGAGGAGCAGGAUUUUGAAUUCAAUUCUGGAUUUAACAGGAAGCCAAUGAAGGGAAGCCAAAACAGGAGAAAUAUGCUCUCUCUUUCUAGUCCCUGUCAGUACUCUUGCUGCAGCAUUUUGGAUUAACUGAAGGCUUUUCAGGGAGUUUUUAGGACAUCCUGAUAAUAAUGAAUUACAGUAGUCCAGCCUGGAAGUAAUAAAUGCAUGAACUAGUUUUUCAGCGUCACUCUGAGACAGGAUAUUUCUAAUUUUAGAGAUGUUGUGCAAAUGGAAGAAAGCAGUCUUACAUAUUUGUUUAAUAUGUGCAUUGAAGGACAUGUCUUGGUCAAAAAUGACUCCAAGGUUCCUCACAGUGUUACUGGAGGCCAAGGUAAUGCCAUCCAGAGUAAGAAUCUGCUUAGAUACCAUAUUUCUAAGAUUUUCAGGGCCGAGUAAAAUAACCUCAGUUUUAUCUGAAUUAAGAAGCAGAAAGUUAGCGGCCAUCCAGGUCUUUAUGUCUUUAAGACAUUCCUGCAGUUUAACUAAAUGGUGCGUGUUACCUGGCUUCAUGGAUAGAUAGAGC